UCGCCCAUCACUUUCUUCUUCUUCCUUUGGUUUCAAGAAAAAGAAGGAAAAGUGUUGGUAGUUUGAAAACAAAACCACAAAACACAAACCUCCAUUUAUCUACUAGAUCUAAGCUUCCAUUCGAGAAGUGUUAGGAGGGAAGUUGCUCCUCUCCACACUACGAUGUAUACACACACACACACACGUUAAAGGCAGGGAGAAACAUUUUGGUUUCCUUUAGUUCAGUUUCCUUCCCUCACCAUCACUUUCUUCUUGCAAAAGAAACAUUUUCCCUUGCUUCUGCUUCUCGCUCAUCACUUUCUUCUUCUUCCUUUGGUUUCAAGAAAAAGAAGGAAUUGGUAGUUUGAAAAUAAAACCGCAAAACACAAACCUCCAUUUAUCUACUAGAUAUAAGCUUCCAUUCGAGAAGUAUUAGGAGGGAAGUUGCUCCUCUCCACACUACGGUGCUUGUGAGCUAACUUUUGAGGUGUCGACGCAAGCGAUAGUUUUCAUCGUAUUUGAUCGCAGUAGCAAAAACGGUAGAGAAAGCGAUAGCGAAGGCUUACGCCCCAGGUUAUUAGAGUUUGGAGUCGUGCUGGAAUUGCAACGAUGUCGAAGACAUGGCAUAGCGAUGAUUUUGAUUUGUAAUCGAAAGCAGUGAGGCUUGAUGCCGCUUGUGGAUCCUCAGUAUCCAGUCACCCUCAAUUAGAUUAAUGAUCAACUUAGGGUUUUAUUUAUGAAUUUUAUUUAUUCUCCCUUUCUUCUUGUCAUGUUGUUGUUGCAAUGAAACUUAUGUAUUUGAAACAAACUAUUUUUGGCCGGUUGUUUAUUAUGAUGUAAUUAUUUAUGACUUU